ACCAGAUCCUUAGCCACUAGGCCACCAGUGGCAGGGACAGAAGAGGACACACAGAGACGUAGAAGGGACGGCUGUGGGACGAUGAGGGCAGAGACUGGAGAGACGCGUGGGCCAGAUUCUCCCUCGGCGACUCCAGAAGGAAUCAGUCAUCCCAACACCUUGACCUCAGACCUCUGGCCUCCAGAACUGGCUCUAUUCAUAGGAGCAUCAAGCUGGAAACAAACCGAAUUCCGCCAACAGAAGAAUGGGUAAACUAAUCAUGCUGUAGUCUUUCAACAGACUACCAUUCAACAAUAAAAAGAAUAAGCCACUAAAACAUACAACAAUUUGAACUUCCAAAACAUAUGAAACAAAGGAAGCCACACACAGACGCACAAUAAAGAAAAGCAAGCCGUCAUGAACAGAAAAGCCUUCAGAAGAAUGGUCACUUAUGGAGAGACAGGAGAAUGGAUCAGAGAAAAUCCUUCAUUGCUUCUACAGAAUUAGAAAUGUUUCUGGGUGUGAGGCCUUCGAUUUUUAUUUCAUUGCUAUGCUUCAAAACUUGAUGCACAUAUUUUUGAUCCAGUACUCCCACUCACUUUUGAAAAUAUCUCCUGCAGAAACAAAGAACUAGUACAUAAGAAUACUGUAUAUUCUUUGGUGGGGCGGGAGGAGAAAGAAAAAGUAAAAUGAAGAAAUAAAUCGUUACUACCUAA